GUCAGAGGGGAUUUCUGGCCUUCCCACUGCCUGCCUCAGUGGCCUCUUGGCUUCUUCCUUCUCCCUUAAUGCCACAGCGACUGUGACAGUUUCACUGUGAUUUAAUCUUUGGCCCCGGGGGCCUCCUCCCCUGCUCCCCAGCCUUCCUUUCCUGUGGCCUCUGCUCCUGUCAAGCCUCCCUGCGAAGGCCCAAAAAUACUCCCAGCUGUGAGAUGCAGAGCCUGCUCCAGGUCCCUACCCCAGGGCUAAGCAGACACGACCAUCGGGGCUUCCAGGUGAACUGCAAGAUACCCAGUAGCACUUGAAUCUUCCAACGAACAAACAGCCUUUUAGUAUAAAUAGCUCCCCUGAGGAUGGCCCCCUUGGCACAUGUGCU
rnacentral:lncRNA from 1 species